UUGGAGGGCAAGUCUGGUGCCAGCAGCCGCGGUAAUUCCAGCUCCAAUAGCGUAUAUUAAAGUUGUUGCAGUUAAAAAGCUCGUAGUUGAAUUUCGGGAUCAGUACGCCGGUCGUGCCUUCGGUAUGCACUGGUGUCACUGGUUUCUCCCUUCUGAAGAACCAUCAUGCCAUUAAGUUGGUGUGGCGGGGAAUCAGGACUGUUACUUUGAAAAAAUUAGAGUGUUUAAAGCAGGCUCGCGCUUGAAUACAUUAGCAUGGAAUAAUGAAAUAGGACGUUUGACCCUAUUUUGUUGGUUUCUAGGAUCGACGUAAUGAUUAAUAGGGAUAGUUGGGGGCAUUAGUAUUCAAUUGUCAGAGGUGAAAUUCUUGGAUUUAUUGAAGACUAACUACUGCGAAAGCAUUUGCCAAGGAUGUUUUCAUUAAUCAAGAACGAAAGUUAGGGGAUCGAAGACGAUCAGAUACCGUCGUAGUCUUAACCAUAAACUAUGCCGACUAGGGAUCGGAUGAUGUUAAUUUUUUAAUGACUCAUUCGGCGCCUUACGGGAAAC
rnacentral:rRNA from 1 species